UUACUAUUUCGAUAGCUGCAAAAUCAUCAUUGGGCUGUCAUUUCAAUAAGAUAAUUUGGCACCCAAGACAUCUGGAUGAUUUGAUUCUGACUAGUAGAUCUUGACCACGUGUCCAAACACCAUUAAGUUGGAAUCAUUCAUGCAGAUAAUGGUGAGAUGGCGCGAUCAAGAGUAGAUGCAUCAAACCAUCUGACCAAUAGUCGGUCUGGAUGUUGCUACAUGUCGUUAUCUGAUGAGAUUCAGAUUUGACUGAUUUCAUUCGGAUCGUUGAGGGAUCG
rnacentral:lncRNA from 1 species